UUGAUUGGUCAAGUAGAGAGGAGUUUUGAUUGGUCAAGUAGAGAGGGGUACUUUCGACUUUGCCCAUCAAGGUGAAGAGUAUCAGAAUAGAUAAGAAUAUCACUACAAGAAAAAUGUGUUUUUAUAGCGGACGAAUAACGCUAUGUAACGAUACGAUAGCAGUUUUUGAAGCGCUGUAUCAUCGCCCGUCAUAAUAGGUAAAUGAUAUUACAUAGCGGUUUUUAGCGUUGCUAUUUUUUCUUCCGCUACGAUAGCGCUUUUCAAUAUGCAAUUAAAUAAAUUUUAAUAGCAUGUCUUUAAUGCUAUUAUUUAUUUUAUUAAC
rnacentral:lncRNA from 1 species